UCACCAUAAACGGAAACUACACUGCUUGAAACAAGAACCACAGCCAAUGCCAUGGCCAAUUGAGGCCAAAGACGGCCCCUGGUGGGGCCGCCACCAGAACUGGUCAUUUCUCGCCGGAAAAUUCAACCCCUUCUCACCAAUUUGUCAGACUGAGCCCCCUUAAGUCUCUUAAUCAGAGUGGAGGAUGUCGUGGCGAAAGUAUUUAGUGAGGUUUG
rnacentral:misc_RNA from 1 species